rnacentral:rRNA from 1 species
GAUGAACGCUGGCGGCGUGCCUAAUACAUGCAAGUCGAGCGAACAGACGAGGAGCUUGCUCCUCUGACGUUAGCGGCGGACGGGUGAGUAACACGUGGAUAACCUACCUAUAAGACUGGGAUAACUUCGGGAAACCGGAGCUAAUACCGGAUAAUAUAUUGAACCGCAUGGUUCAAUAGUGAAAGACGGUUUUGCUGUCACUUAUAGAUGGAUCCGCGCCGCAUUAGCUAGUUGGUAAGGUAACGGCUUACCAAGGCAACGAUGGGUAGCCGACCUGAGAGGGUGAUCCGACACACUGGAACUGAGACACGGUCCAGACUCCUACGGGAGGCAGCGGUAGGGAAUCUUCCGCAAUGGGCGAAAGCCUGACGGAGCAACGCCGCGUGAGUGAUGAAGGUCUUCGGAUCGUAAAACUCUGUUAUUAGGGAAGAACAAAUGUGUAAGUAACUAUGCACGUCUUGACGGUACCUAAUCAGAAAGCCACGGCUAACUACGUG